AGCGAACGCUGGCGGCAGGCCUAACACAUGCAAGUCGAACGGAUCCUUCGGGAUUAGUGGCGGACGGGUGAGUAACACGUGGGAACGUGCCCUUUGGUUCGGAACAACUCAGGGAAACUUGAGCUAAUACCGGAUGUGCCCUUCGGGGGAAAGAUUUAUCGCCAUUGGAGCGGCCCGCGUCUGAUUAGCUAGUUGGUGAGGUAACGGCCCACCAAGGCGACGAUUAGUAGCUGGUCUGAGAGGAUGAUCAGCCACACUGGGACUGAGACACGGCCCAGACUCCUACGGGAGGCAGCAGUGGGGAAUCUUGCGCAAUGGGCGAAAGCCUGACGCAGCCAUGCCGCGUGAAUGAUGAAGGUCUUAGGAUUGUAAAAUUCUUUCAGCGGGGACGAUAAUGACGGUACCCGCAGAAGAAGCUCCGGCUAACUUCGUG
rnacentral:rRNA from 1 species